UACGAAGGGGGCUAGCGUUGUUCGGAUUUACUGGGCGUAAAGCGCACGUAGGCGGAUCGAUCAGUCAGGGGUGAAAAUCCCAGAGCUCAACUCUGGAACUGCCUUUGAUACUGUCGAUCUGGAGUAUGGAAGAGGUGAGUGGAAUUCCGAGUGUAGAGGUGAAAUUCGUAGAUAUUCGGAGGAACACCAGUGGCGAAGGCGGCUCACUGGUCCAUUACUGACGCUGAGGUGCGAAAAGCGUGGGGAGCAAACAGG
rnacentral:rRNA from 1 species